AUGCAUCCCAUCCACGCUUCUCAACCACACAUCCCAGCCACGCAUCCCAACCACACAUCCCAACAAUGCAUCCCAACCAAUCACGCAUCCCAUCCACGCAUCCCAACCACACAUCCCAACCACGCAUCCCAUCCACUCAUCCCAACCAUGCAUCCCAUCCAUGCAACCCAACCACGCAUCCCAACCACCCAUUCUAACCACCUAUCCCAACCACCCAUCCCAACCACUCAUCCCAUCCACUCAUCCCAACCACACACCCAAGCACACAUCUCAACAGCGCAUCCCAACCACACAUCCCAACCACACAUCCCAUCCACGCAUCCCAAACACACAUCCCAUCCACGCAUCCCAACCACACAUCCCAAUCACGCAUCCCAUCCACACAUCCCAACCACGCAUCCCAAGCACACAUCCCAACCACGCAUCCGAAGCACACAUCCCAACCACACAUCCCAACCAACCACUCAUCCCAACAACGCCUCCCAACCACGCAUCCCGCCUGCAAAGCCUUUGGCUACCCGCAGUUUUGUUUUCCAGCUAGUUCUCCAGGCAAAGGCAGGUGAUGGCUGCGGGCGCUGCCGUUCGGUGACCGCUCUGCUGAGGUCAAAACUGUUAGAACACGUACGUUUGAGACGUGCCAUUGCUGAGGAUUUGGGGUAUCGCUGUCGUGACGCUUGGCCGCGCUGCCCCUCGCCGUGGGGCCGCUGCUGGUCUAGCCCGAGCUUUGCACCCGCGCUUCGGCGGUGGCCUCUGCACUGCAUUUCCAAAAGACCCUCGAAGCUCCUGCAGCCAGCUCUCCUCUUCCAGCGUGGUGGCCCGUGGUGGCCGUGCCCCUCGCUGCUGGCACCACAGAAGAAGCUAAAGGGCUUCCGUGAAACCUCCCGCCUCUCCCCAAACUCCCUAACGCCGCAGGUUGUGAGACGAGGCCGGGGGGAGCCCAACGGUUUGGCCUCUCCACCCAAGGUGCCCAAGUCUUCAUCUCGCCUUGCUGCUCCCGGGCACGGGCGCCCCCGUAACCACCCUCCGCCCGCCCCACGCUGGGACACCCCCGGGAGGACGCGUUUUCCCCCCCCAUCCGGCCGCCCUAGCGGACGCCCCCGGGCAUCGCUUGGGAAACCGGCUCCGACGCCGGCCGAGGGGACUUCCGUAGCGCCCUGA
rnacentral:lncRNA from 1 species